rnacentral:rRNA from 1 species
GACGAACCGAGCGAACGUUGUUCGGAAUCACUGGGCUUAAAGGGCGCGUAGGCGGGCCGUCUAGUCCGUGGUGAAAUCCUCCGGCUCAACCGGAGAAGUGCCUCGGAUACUGGCGGCCUCGAGGGGGGUAGGGGCGUGCGGAACUUCCGGUGGAGCGGUGAAAUGCGUAGAUAUCGGAAGGAACACCGGUGGCGAAAGCGGCGCGCUGGACCCCAUCUGACGCUGAGGCGCGAAAGCCAGGGGAGCAAACGGGG